GCCAGAGCCGCGGCAGAGGCAGAGGAGGGAGCUAGGAGGUGAGACCCGCUCCACCCUGCUCGCCUAGGCUCGGCGGAGGCUAAGAGCAGGGCAGCCUCCUCUGCCCGGCGCCCGCUGAGCCCCGGCAUCUGGAACUCAGGGCCCUGGCGCUCCAGGGGCGGGAACUGGCCGGGAGGACCGCGCGGGAGAGCACGGAUGGGCACCCUGGGCUCGAUCUUCUCACCUGGGGCGGGUGGGUUCUGCACCACCCUCCCACCCUCCUUCCUCCGUGUGGACGAUAGAGCCACAUCCAGCACCACGGACAGCUCCCGGGCGCCUUCAUCUCCUCGUCCUCCAGGCAGCACAAGCCAUUGUGGAAUCUCCACCAGGUGUACAGAACGGUGCCUCUGCGUCCUGCCACUCAGGACCUCUCAAGUCCCCGAUGUGAUGGCUCCUCAGCAUGAUCAGGAACCAAAAAGAAGAAUGUACUUCAUCUGGUUGGGCUGGAUUCCCUCUGAUAAGCCUUCCCAGUUGACUGAAAGAUGAGGCUAGGCUCUAGCAAGUUGAAGUCAAACCAGCUCCUUCAAGAAGCUUUGAGCAGAAUGAAGUGGGGAGGACCCAGCUUCCAGCCCAGGAAGCCCACUGUACCUGGAGCCAUCUGGGAUAAGACUUUGACCCAUGACUCCCAUAUCCACAGCCUGUCCAUCCUAGCCCAUCCCAGUUUAUCCUGUAUCAUUUGAGCUGGGAUUCCCACAUCCUCUGAGUUGGAAGUCCCAUCUCAAGUCUUCAAUAAAGACUCUUGAAUAUUGAAUCACA
rnacentral:lncRNA from 1 species